CAAUGUCAAAUUUAGUAGAGGAUUAGUUCCUAGAAGAGGACUAAAAAGAUCCUUAUCAGUCAGAAAAUGAGCCUGACGUUUUCACUUCGAAAAGAGAUUGUGGAAGUGGUGCCAAUGGUGUCUGAGGUGCUAAAACGAUGGCCUGCCCUGUCUCUUCCUAAUGAGGUAAUGAGUUCAAACACAUUACCAACGUUGACCUUCUCUGUAACAUUCAGCUCAUCAUUACACCAACAUACACCACAUCUUCUGAAAUUGUACAGAGCAAGACAGGGGGCUUUUGGAAAAUAGAUGGAAGAUCUUCUUAACAUGCGUGAUCAACAGACCUCAAAUAUUGUGAAUCACAGAAAUAUUGUGAAUCUCCCUGAAGAUCCUGCAUUGUUUAGAAAAUGUCUGGACACAUCUCCAGCAGACAGACAGACAGACCAGAGGGAUGAAAAUGGGAAUUCCUGUUUUAACGGAGGAUGAUGUCGCCCCUAGCACACUGCCUACCUUUACAAACUUUGCUGUUGUUUUGGAGGAGGUAAUUGUUCUAAAAGACAUUUCAGACCUACAAUCUGCUGUUGCUUACC